AAGACCCUAUAGAAUUUUAUAUUAUUUUUAUAUUUAAAUUAUNGUAUAUAAAUUUUAAAUUUUUAUUAAGAUUAUUUAGUUGGGGUGAUUAAAAAAUUUAUUUAACUUUUUUUAUUUAUGACAUUAAUUUAUGUGUAAUUGAUCCAAUAUUUUUGAUUAUAAGAUUAAAUUACCUUAGGGAUAACAGCGUAAUUUUUUUAGAGAGUUCUUAUCGAUAAAAGAGAUUGCGACCUCGAUGUUGGAUUAAAGUUAAUUUUUAAUGUAGAAGUUAAAAUAUUAGGUCUGUUCGACCUUUGAAACUUUACAUGAUCUGAGUUUAAAUCGGCGUGAGCCAGGUUGGAUUCUAUCUUUAAAGAAUUUUAGUAUUUUAGUACGAAAGGACCAAAUAUUAUUUAUAUUAAAUUUUAUUGAAUAU
rnacentral:rRNA from 1 species